GUGAGGAAUAUUGCGCAAUGGAGGCAACUCUGACGCAGCCAUGCCGCGUGCAGGAAGAAGGCGCUACGCGUUGUAAACUGCUUUUAACCGGGAAGAAACCCCAGGACGUGUCCUGGGUUGACGGUACCGGAGGAAUAAGCACCGGCUAACUUCGUGCCAGCAGCCGCGGUAAUACGAAGGGUGCAAGCGUUAUCCGGAUUCAUUGGGUUUAAAGGGUGCGUAGGCGGAGCGUUAAGUCAGUGGUGAAAUCCUGCAGCUUAACUGUAGACUUGCCAUUGAUACUGGCGCUCUUGAGUGCGCUUGAAGUGGGCGGAAUGUGCCGUGUAGCGGUGAAAUGCUUAGAUAUGGCACAGAACACCAAUUGCGAAGGCAGCUCACUAAGGCGAUACUGACGCUGAGGCACGAAAGCGUGGGGAUCGAACAGGAUUAGAUACCCGAGUAUCC
rnacentral:rRNA from 1 species